CCCCAGCGAUGAGCUCGCACCUUAACGCGGUGCGGUGGCUUAAUAGCCUGAGUGGAAUUCGGGUGAAGCCAAGAAGAAC
rnacentral:ribozyme from 1 species